GAGGAAUAUUGGACAAUGGGCGCAAGCCUGAUCCAGCCAUGCCGCGUGCAGGAUGACGGUCCUAUGGAUUGUAAACUGCUUUUAUACAGGAAGAAACCCUACCACGUGUGGUAGAUUGACGGUACUGUAGGAAUAAGGAUCGGCUAACUCCGUGCCAGCAGCCGCGGUAAUACGGAGGAUCCAAGCGUUAUCCGGAAUCAUUGGGUUUAAAGGGUCCGUAGGCGGUUUAAUAAGUCAGUGGUGAAAGCCCAUCGCUUAACGAUGGAACGGCCAUUGAUACUGUUAGACUUGAAUUAUUAGGAAGUAACUAGAAUAUGUAGUGUAGCGGUGAAAUGCUUAGAUAUUACAUGGAAUACCAAUUGCGAAGGCAGGUUACUACUAAUAUAUUGACGCUGAUGGACGAAAGCGUGGGGAGCGAACA
rnacentral:rRNA from 1 species